rnacentral:rRNA from 1 species
CCAGACUCCUACGGGAGGCAGCAGUGGGGAAUAUUGCACAAUGGGGGAAACCCUGAUGCAGCAACGCCGCGUGAGUGAGGAAGUAUUUCGGUAUGUAAAGCUCUAUCAACAGGGAAUAGAAAAGAAGGUACCUGAAAAAGAAGCCCCGGCUAACUACGUGCCAGCAGCCGCGGUAAUACGUAGGGGGCAAGCGUUAUCCGGAUUUACUGGGUGUAAAGGGGGCGCAGGCGGCCUUGCAAGUCUGAUGUGAAAGGCCGGGGCCCAACCCCGGGACUGCAUUGGAAACUGCGAGGCUGGAGUGUCGGAGAGGCAGGCGGAAUUCCUAGUGUAGCGGUGAAAUGCGUAGAUAUUAGGAGGAACACCAGUGGCGAAGGCGGCCUGCUGGACGAUGACUGACGCUGAGGCUCGAAAGCGUGGGGAGCAAACAGGAUUAGAUACCCCCGUAU